UAGUUGGGCAAUUGCUAUGAGGGUACCCUCUAGUUUCCUCAGAAACCUUGCCAGGUUCCUGUCUUUGCUCAGUCCAUGCCAUGUGGUAAGGAAGCGCUUUUGGGGAGGACACAGGAUAUAGAAUCCUGUGGCUGCGAUCUGGAAAGGUGAGGUGAGCUGUUCAAGGUAAACCCAGGUGGGCUUCAAGACUCAACACCAGUAUCUCCAUGUUUCCACCCUACUGGAGCGUAAUGGCAGAUGAGGUGCUGGGCCUCUACGCGCAGCUCGCAGAAAACGGGCUGGUUUGGGCAGUCUGUAUGGCUCAGCUCCAAGUACAAACUUCAAGAACAGACGUCACCACUGGUGAAAAUGAAGAGGAGUGAAGGAGGACUACACUGGAGGCAUUGAGAAGGCCGAAGGAUGCUGGUUCAGGUAUUCAUCCAGAAAGCUGUUGACAAUCCCAGCUGCACCCAGGGUUACCAAGCAAGUCAGAACUAUCAAAUUCAAAUAAAAACCUGUUA